rnacentral:rRNA from 1 species
GACGCCGCUUGAGGGAUGACGGCCUUCGGGUUGUAACCUCUUUCAGUAGGGAAGAAGCCUUUCGGGGUGACGGUACUUGCAGAAGAAGCGCCGGCUAACUACGUGCCAGCAGCCGCGGUAAUACGUAGGGCGCAAGCGUUAUCCGGAAUUAUUGGGCGUAAAGAGCUCGUAGGCGGUUUGUCGCGUCUGCUGUGAAAGACCGGGGCUCAACUCCGGUUCUGCAGUGGGUACGGGCAGACUAGAGUGCAGUAGGGGAGACUGGAAUUCCUGGUGUAGCGGUGAAAUGCGCAGAUAUCAGGAGGAACACCGAUGGCGAAGGCAGGUCUCUGGGCUGUAACUGACGCUGAGGAGCGAAAGCAUGGGGAGCGAACAGGAUUAGAUACCCUGGUAGUCCAUGCCGUAAACGUUGGGCACUAGGUGUGGGGGACAUUCCACGUUUUCCGCGCCGUAGCUAACGCAUUAAGUGCCCCGCCUGGGGAGUACGGCCGCAAGGCUAAAACUCAAAGGAAUUGACGGGGGCCCGCACAAGCGGCGGAGCAUGCGGAUUAAUUCGAUGCAACGCGAAGAACCUUACCAAGGCUUGACAUGGACCGGAAAGACCUGGAAACAGGUGCCCCGCUUGCGGCCGGUUUACAGGUGGUGCAUGGUUGUCGUCAGCUCGUGUCGUGAGAUGUUGGGUUAAGUCCCGCAACGAGCGCAACCCUCGUUCUAUGUUGCCAGCGGUUCGGCCGGGGACUCAUAGGAGACUGCCGGGGUCAACUCGGAGGAAGGUGGGGACGACGUCAAAUCAUCAUGCCCCUUAUGUCUUGGGCUUCACGCAUGCUACAAUGGCCGGUACAAAGGGUUGCGAUACUGUGAGGUGGAGCUAAUCCCAAAAAGCCGGUCUCAGUUCGGAUUGGGGUCUGCAACUCGACCCCAUGAAGUCGGAGUCGCUAGUAAUCGCAGAUCAGCAACGCUGCGGUGAAUACGUUCCCGGGCCUUGUACACACCGCCCGUCAAGUCACGAAAGUUGGUAACACCCGAAGCC